AGGUGUCCACACGGGGGUCCCACUAGGGACUGAGAUCGGGCUGAUAAGUGCCCGGGACCGUAGAACCUGAACCGGUUUGUACCGGCGUAGGAAGUGAGGAGCUCGUCUUG
rnacentral:ncRNA from 1 species